GGGGGUGUAGCUCAGUCGUAGAGCAUUCGACUGCAGAUCGAGAGGUCCCCGGUU
rnacentral:tRNA from 1 species